UGUCCCUUUUGCUGUCCAGAAAUCUCCCAAACUUGUGGCCGGUAACCUCUUCCUUUCUAUCCUUUCCGAAGAUUCCCUUUGGAUGGAAGUCAGCUGUGAAUGCUCUCCUGAUUUGCAUUCAAUUGUAUAAAUUGUCAUAGUCUAAUUUAUAUUUCAAUCUCCUAUUUCUCUAGGGCGGAAAAAUGUAAUCUCAGUUAAUUUGAGGUUUCUUCCUGCCCUGGCAUUGUAUUUAAAUUCAGGGGAACUGGAUGUCUCAUGGGUUUUUCUACUUUUUAAUAUAAUCUGGUUAUAUGGGCAUUGGGUAAGAUAUCUGCCGCCUGAUUUGAUCCUUCCUCAUUGGCCCAAGCAUGUCACCACGGAGACUUCCUUGUUCGUGUCUAUAUGGUUCAUACAUGGCCUUCCCCUUAAUUAAAGAUGUCUUCCGAGGAACA
rnacentral:lncRNA from 1 species